rnacentral:rRNA from 1 species
UACGUAGGGGGCAAGCGUUAUCCGGAUUUACUGGGUGUAAAGGGAGCGUAGACGGCAUGGCAAGCCAGAUGUGAAAUACCGGGGCUCAACCCCGGGACUGCAUUUGGAACUGUUAAGCUGGAGUGUCGGAGAGGUCAUCGGAAUUCCUUGUGUAGCGGUGAAAUGCGUAGAUAUAAGGAAGAACACCAGUGGCGAAGGCGGAUGACUGGACGGCAACUGACGGUGAGGCGCGAAAGCGUGGGGAGCAAACAGG